UCGUAACAAGGUCUCCGUUGGUGAACCAGCGGAGGGAUCAUUACCGAGUUUACAACUCCCAAACCCCUGUGAACAUACCAAUUGUUGCCUCGGCGGAUCAGCCCGCUCCCGGUAAAACGGGACGGCCCGCCAGAGGACCCCUAAACUCUGUUUCUAUAUGUAACUUCUGAGUCAAACCAUAAAUAAAUCAAAACUUUCAACAACGGAUCUCUUGGUUCUGGCAUCGAUGAAGAACGCAGCAAAAUGCGAUAAGUAAUGUGAAUUGCAGAAUUCAGUGAAUCAUCGAAUCUUUGAACGCACAUUGCGCCCGCCAGUAUUCUGGCGGGCAUGCCUGUUCGAGCGUCAUUUCAACCCUCAAGCUCAGCUUGGUGUUGGGACUCGCGAGUUAAAUCGCGUUCCCCAAAUUGAUUGGCGGUCACGUCGAGCUUCCAUAGCGUAGUAGUAAAACCCUCGUUACUGGUAAUCGUCGCGGCCACGCCGUUAAACCCCAACUUCUGAAUGUUGACCUCGGAUCAGGUAGGAAUACCCGCUGAACUUAAGCAUAUCAAUAA
rnacentral:misc_RNA from 1 species